GUGGGGUAGUAUCCUGCAAGUCUUA
rnacentral:tRNA from 1 species